UAUUUUCAUCUCGUCUUUUAACUACCCCGGAGGACGAUACAAAAAUUAUUUACUUUUUCUGGAACGCUCUAUAUGUGAUUUUUAAUUCAGGGAAAAAUAUUUCAUUAGUUCAGUCGAUUAUACUCGUCGAUAAUAAACGAAAGUAACGAAUCUGUCAAAUCAAACUAUUUAUAUAAACAAAUCAAAUUACUUAUAUAUGCGCGUUUAUUAAACUCUGGAAAUUUAGAAGCGCUGCGAUCAGUACGUGCCAUCGAUCAAACAUUUACGCCAUGAUUAAGAGAAAAAACAAGCAAUUAUAAACAUCUAUCAAACCGACUAUCAAAUACCAAUAUACAGCGAUACACUUCAUUUCAUUCGAAACAAACAAAUUACGGUAUCGACGUACUUACUUUGAUAAUGGAAAAAGUGGAAGGAUCCAUUCGACAUGCACGUUGUUGCAUUCGCGUGUGGCGGCGACACCGAGCAAUCUAAGGGCGAUUCGCACGGUGCGACGGGAGCAACGACUCGCGAUUAACGGCGAGUUUGGUUGAGCCAAGAGAAAGCAAGGAAAUCCACGGCCACGAAAGAAACGAGACUCGAGAGUCGAUGGACCGACUGCACGGGGUCCAGGUCGACGUAGAACUAACCCGGGUUUCGGGCAAUAAAGGGGAUCAUUUUGAAUCUGUGUGCUGAAAUUUAUGGUCCCCCACCAGCCUAUGCCUGACUAUAGGGCCGCGCAGUAAAGGACGGCUAUUAAUUUUACGUUUGUCGUGGCGAACGAUUCCAGCUCCGAAGGACUUCUCUCUUCCACUGCCAAAAGAUUGAACGUUCCAACAAAUGUAAAUUUAAGCAUCGUUGCCGGGAAAAGUUCCACUGAAACUUAAUAUAAUCAUCGAUCAAUGAAAUCAUAAGGGUACUUUCAUACGUGUAUAAAGGGUGAUCAAGUUCUAGCUCCUUAACACCGGGCAGAUCAAUCAAAAUGAUUUAUUAACAAACUAGAAAACGUACCCUUUCUAUAAAUACAACUAUUUUAUACUAACCUUCUUAACUAAUUUAUCUAACCUUCUCCAAAUAGAUUUUUCUUUUAAUAAUAAAUGCCAAGAUGUAACAGUACCGUCUAAUGCACUGGAAUUUGAAGAAACUGAAUACAAUAUGAUUUUUGUAAGGAAACAGUUCCAAUUAGAAUAAACUUGACUUAGAAUAAACCACAACAAUACAGCAGUUGUUCUAAUAAACAAAUUAUGUUUCUCAUAGAAAAU
rnacentral:misc_RNA from 1 species